AGUCUGAACCACCGGCAGGAACCCGCUGACAACCAGUUUAGGCCAUGAACACAGAAGCAAAGAACUCAGGGACCCCCAGUGUGUCCUCAUCAGCAGAGGUGAUCCCCACCCUGCCGCCACCUGAGGAGAAGGCUGCACUGAAAGCAGUGGACCCUGGUGAAGGCGCCCUGCUCUCCUUGAGAUUGUAAGGCAUGACCCGGAGCUCUGUUCGUUCUGGGGUGUCAUGGCCUACACGGCCUCUCAGAGAGUCUCCAAACAAAGGAAAGACACCAAAAAGUCCAGUUUCGAAUUUUUGAUGGCCACUGCACCUUCCUCCCCUGAAACUGCCAGCUGCCCAAGUCCCCGUCUACCAUACCUGGGCACAAAGACAGCUUGUGUUGGACACAUCAUCGCUCCUGGCCUACAACCUGGAAAGUCUCCCUGCUUUAGUUCAGGGGUGUGGCUUCACUAGCUUCAAUCUCUGGGACCAGAGAACUGAACCGAGAGUUGCUCUGCUCAGAUAUAACUGGUGUUAUACUUUUCAGUUUGACUUGAUCUGGCUUACUGCGUUGGUGCAGAAUCUUAUGGAGUGGGAGCGGAAAACCUAUUGUCGGCAAGGAAUGAGAUGCAACACCAGGAAUAAAGAAGAGAAGUGAGCUGGAGGUCAGAAGUUCAAGGACAUCUUCAGCUAUUUAUGGGUUCCAGCACACCUGUGCUACACACACACACACACAGAGAGAGAGAGAGAGAGAGAGAGAGAGAGAGAAGAUUUUAUUUAUGCCAGUUAAUAGCAAUGUGCCUCUGAAGGCUCAUCAAAUGUGCUGUCUUGUGGUGACAGUGGGGGAGCGGUGUGGCAAAGCCACAAAAUAGAAUAAAUCUUUGUAUUGUCUACUACCUAAGCAUGCUCCAACAUAUUAAGCUCAUUUUUAAAACCGAAACCGAAUGCCAUAAAGCUCAUGCCUGUAACGGGUACUAACCUUGUACAACAUAGCAAGAUCUGCCUCAAAAGUAAAUAAAUAAACAAAUUAAA